rnacentral:rRNA from 1 species
AGAGUUUGAUCCUGGCUCAGAUUGAACGCUGGCGGCAUGCUUUACACAUGCAAGUCGAACGGUAACAGGCCGCAAGGUGCUGACGAGUGGCGAACGGGUGAGUAAUGCAUCGGAACGUGCCCAGUCGUGGGGGAUAACGCAGCGAAAGCUGCGCUAAUACCGCAUACGAUCUAUGGAUGAAAGCGGGGGACCGUAAGGCCUCGCGCGAUUGGAGCGGCCGAUGUCAGAUUAGGUAGUUGGUGGGGUAAAGGCUCACCAAGCCGACGAUCUGUAGCUGGUCUGAGAGGACGACCAGCCACACUGGGACUGAGACACGGCCCAGACUCCUACGGGAGGCAGCAGUGGGGAAUUUUGGACAAUGGGCGCAAGCCUGAUCCAGCAAUGCCGCGUGCAGGAAGAAGGCCUUCGGGUUGUAAACUGCUUUUGUACGGAACGAAACGGCUCUGGUUAAUACCUGGGGCUAAUGACGGUACCGUAAGAAUAAGCACCGGCUAACUACGUGCCAGCAGCCGCGGUAAUACGUAGGGUGCAAGCGUUAAUCGGAAUUACUGGGCGUAAAGCGUGCGCAGGCGGUUUUGUAAGACAGGCGUGAAAUCCCCGGGCUCAACCUGGGAAUGGCGCUUGUGACUGCAAAGCUGGAGUGCGGCAGAGGGGGAUGGAAUUCCGCGUGUAGCAGUGAAAUGCGUAGAUAUGCGGAGGAACACCGAUGGCGAAGGCAAUCCCCUGGGCCUGCACUGACGCUCAUGCACGAAAGCGUGGGGAGCAAACAGGAUUAGAUACCCCGGUAGU